UCACAAUUGCUACGAAGAGAGUAAAAUACCUAGGAAUCCAACUUACAAGGGAUGUGAAGGAUCUCUUCAAGGAAGUCACUUUCUGUAUUGUACUUCGCUUAAUACUUAAGCCUCCAGGAAAGUUUUGUUAGAUAUUGCAGUCAGGUCUAGGCUAAGUAUUUUAAAUUUUUUAUUUUUAUUUUAUUUGGUUAUAAGCGGUGCUCUGAUCAGUGACAGAAGUGACUUGGUUCCACCUUUAACAGAACGUUGGUGUAGAGCAAAUCAGCACAAUCUUCUCCUCUAUGAACAUGUGUGUUGACUCAUGCAUACUCAAGAAACCCUGUGAAGCAGCCUUGAAAAGAGAUUUUUCUGGCCAAGCUUGGUCCUAAAUGUGAGACAAUUGUGAAAAGUGGAGGACAGAGCCACCUGGUUAAAUACAGCCCCAGCUUUCUGGUGAGAGGACUGAAACCAAGAUGUGUCAAGUAACUAGAAUGUGCCUGGACAGAUACUGUAGAAAGCAAAACCAUAAAGUUGUUCAUGAGCUUGUGGACGCACCUGCCAGCUGUGAAUAAGUGGCUCUAAUCCCGAACAACUUACCUAAAAAGAGCCUGAGAGCUGAACUGUGCAAUGGCCCACUUUCCAGUCCUCACUGACCACUGGGUUGCACACACUUUGGAGAUCUCUGAACAGCAGUGUCAAGGCUUUCAAAUAGAGUUAUCUUUGAAACGACAACACAUGAAAGUCUGGUUGGUACUUGGAGCUUAAAUACAAGGCAAUUGUGUGCCUGCAAAAACAAAAAUAGCAAUAUUAUCCUUAAGAUUUCAACAAGACACAGUGUCUCAUCACAUAAUCCAAAGAAGUCCAGGUUACAAGCCCCACAAUAUUCAGCAUUAUGAAAAAACAGGGAGAUCUUAAUUCACAUGGCAAAGAGAAUCCUCGAAUAACAAUAUUGAGAGGACACAGAUGUCAAAAUCAUCUGACACAUACAUUAAAGCAGAUAUUAUAACAAUGCUCCUAGAAUCGGGGAUAACAUUCGUGAAGUGAAUGGAAAGUUGGAAAGUCUCACCAAAUAUUUCGAAUACAUAAACACCAAUUUAAACUUAAGAAUUAAAAAAAUGUAUUAACCAAAACUCUUAGGGGAAAUAAAAAGCUUAAUUGGAGGAUCUCCAUAAUCGAAUGCAGAAGACUAAGGAAAAAGUCAAUGAACUUGAAAACAGAACACGAAUACCUACAUAAUCUGAACUAUAGAGAGAAAGGAGGAUUUUAUUGUCUCUGAACAGAGGCUCAGGCACAAAUAAAAAAUAACAAAUCCAACAUUCACAUUAUUGUAAUCUGGAAAGAAGAGGACAAAGUGGUCUUUGUGGGAUAAAACUUUGAACAAUUAAUAGCUGAAAAUGGUUCAAAUUUGUCAAAAGAUAUAAACCAGAUUUUUAAAGUUCAGUAAAUGUCAAUCAGGAUAAACCCAAAGAAACCCAUAGCAAGGCAUAUCAUAAUCAAACUGCUGAAAACUAAGAAAAUACAAAACAAUUUUGAAAGCAGCCAAAGGGAAAUGAAAGAGAAACUACCAAAUGAAUGAUUGUAGAUUUCGCAUCAGGAACCAUAGGGGCCAGAAAAAAUGUCAUAACAUUCGGUAAGUAACAAAAGAAAAAGACAUAUCGACCCAGAAUGCUAUGUGGAGCAAAAGUAUCUUCCAGACAUAAAGGCAAAUAAAUGCAUUCUCAGUGGAAGGUAAGUAAAUACAUUCUCAUUCUUAGGAAGACUGCUGGAAAAGAAUUAGCAAAGAUUUGAGAUAAGAAAAAUGAUACCAGAAGGAAACUUAGAACAUCAUCAGUGAAGGAACAAAAGCAGAAAUAGAACAUGUCUGGGUAGACAUAACAGACUAUUAUUCUUCCCUUGAGUUCCUUAAGGAGACUACGGAAAAGAAGAGUGACUAAGAUCUCUGAAGAAGGGAAAAGCUAGAUGACUGGGCCACAAGAGAAAAAAAGCAGCAAGACAGAGAUUUGUUGGUGCCAACUAAAUGAGCCCAACAGCCAGUGACAACAGAACUGCACUAAAAAAAGUCCCUCAUCAGCUCUUGAGAGCAGGUUCCUUAAAGGUGAACAAUAUUCCACAUACAAGGACUUUUUCAGCACCAUGCAUUAGAAAUGGAAGUGAAUGUUUAUUAUUUUUUGUAUAAGUUGGUUGAUACGGCUUUUCAGCUUCCCUCAGUAUCAUUAUCCAAAUUUUGUAGAUGACACUAAAGCUCAGAGGAGUUAAACCAUUUUCCUCAAAUCACAUAGCUUUAAAUAGGAAAACCAGAUAUGAAAAGCAGAUUUUUUUCUAAAUUAAAAAAAAAAAAAAAACUUGAGCUCUUGCUUUACCCUAGCACAUAGUCUCACCAUCUGUUUUCUCCAUGCCAGGUCAUUCAUGUAACAUUCAUUCACAUAACAAAUACAAAUAAAUGAGUGGAUUCAUUCAUCAGCUAUUAAUUCAGAAUCUCUUUUGUGUCUACCACACUAGGCUCAAGACUUCCCAGUGUCUUUGUCUCCUCUCCCUCAAAUCUCUCCACCCAAUGUCUUGACAAAUACUGUAGAUCCUUCCUGCACAGCAUCACCAGAAUGUUUUUCUUUCUUUUCAUUCACCUCUGUCAUCAUCCAUGCUAUGGUGUUUAUGGAGGAUGUAUUCUGCAGCAGGAAGUGUGAUGGGCACUGACGCUGCAGAAAGACUCCUGUUGUCCACCUCGGGAGCUGACACGAUAAAUGCGGGUAAAUCUCAAUCCUUUAAUAUCUUUAUGACUUCUUUCUCUUUCUCUUCAAUUUCUAUUUUCUCAUGUUCAAGCUCUGACAUUCAAAACUAAACACCUUUCUCUAACAUGUUGCUUUAAUUAUUUAAGCAUUCUGCCUGGGAUUUUUUCAAUUACUCUUGGGAGUUUUCAUAAAACUCUACCAACAUAUCUCCAAGUGGCCAGGCUUUUCAAUCACUGCUUCCCUCCGUGUGUAUUUCACACACACACACACACACACACACACACACACAGCACUUAAAUUGAACAGGUUUAUUUCUUCACACAGGAAUUCCUACGAACAGCCCGGUUUUCUCCACCAUAUGUCCACUCCUUCUCUGCAUAGCUGAAUUUUGAUUCUUACACUCUAAUAUUUUACAUAUUCUUACACUCUGAUAUGAUCUUGUCUCUUAUUCUUUAUGGCUCUGCUCUGUAAUUUUGUUGUUGUUGUUCUGAGAUAUAGUUGGACAUGUAACUUGUACAUGACACACCUUAGCAAGGAGGCAACCUAUAUCUCAGAUGCAAGUGAAAGAAGCACUCCCCAGGGGUUUCCUAAGGUAGUGGUCAGCACGCUGGCUUCAUUCCUGAAAGGGCCUAGUUAUGAAAACAACAGGAGCUUUUUGCCUUCCAGAAAUCUGUACCAUCUCAAAAUCCCCAGAGAGUCUCAGCUACAAGGAACAAGUGAUAAUACUAUCUCACUUUUAUAAACACACACACACAACACACACACACAAAAUCAUUUAAUCAUUUUUAAUUAUUUAAUCAUUUUUUAAAAAUCAGUGACACUUUAGAUGGGCAGGUCUAGGCAGGGCCUCCUUUCCUGGAAUGUGCCUUUUUCUGUCCCGGAAUACCCUAAACUUGACAUUUUGGCAGUGUGAGUUUUCCCUUUUUGACUUUCUCCUUGUUCCCUUUCCUCUUCCUUCUUUGCAGAGAAUGAGUAGCCACUGCACCUUGCCCUGGGCCAUCAGUGAGAAGAUCUGCUCUUAGUAGAGCCCUGCUUUCCCGCUGAAGGCCCUGAAAUCCCCUGUGUUCCAGGCCACCCACUAAGGAUCAAUAAAGCUCCCCUGAUGUGGGGGAAUUAGCUCAAGUGGUAGAGCGCUUGCUUAGCAUGCAAGAGGUAGUGGGAUCGAUGCCCACAUUCUCCAAACUUUAUUAUUUAGACCCUGGGUCUCCAAACACUCAGGUCUCCAAACCCAAGUCAGAGAACAGGAUGCUGCUUUGGUUCAAGAUGUAGGAGCAGCAACAAUACAGGGCUGGUGACGGCUCCCUCCUGGCAUUCAGUAUAGUGUAGAUCUACCGUGUAAUUAAUUUUCUGCUUCUUUGAGGAGCUGUGAAACCAAGGGACAUAAACAAUUGCUCUUUUCUCCCUGUUUCUGCCUGUAGCUUGAAUGUGAGGCAACUGUGAAAAGUGCAGGGCAGAGCCACCUGGGUAAAUACAGCCCUGGCUUUCUGGUGAGAGGACUGAAACCAGGAUGUGUCAAGUAACUAGAAUGUGCCUGGACAGAUACUGUAGAAAGCAAACCCAUAAAGUUGUUCAUGAGCUUGUGGACGCACCUGCCAGCUGUGAAUAAGUGGGUCUAAUCCCAAACAACUUACCUAAAAAGAGCCUGAGGACUGAACUAAACAAUGGUCCGCUUUCCAGUCCUCACUGACCACUGGUUGCACACACUCCAGAGAUCUCUCAUCCGCAGUGUCAAGGCUUUCAAAUAGAGUUAUCUGUGAAACAACAACACAUGGAAGUCUGGUUGGUACUUGGAGCUUAAAUACAAGGCAAUUGUGUGCCUGCAAAAACAAAAAGAGCAAUAUUAUCCUUAAGAUUUCAACAAGACACAGUGUCUCAUCACAUAAUCCAAAGAAGUCCAGGUUACAAGCCCCAAAAUAUUCAGCAUUAUGAAAAACCAGGGAGAUCUUAAUUCACAUGGCAAAGAGAAUCCUUGCAUAACAAUAUUGAGAGGACACAUAUGUCAAAAUCAUCUGACACAUACAUUAAAGCAGUUAUUAUAACAAUGCUCCUAGAAUUACGGGAUAGCAUUCAUGAAGUGAAUGGAAAGUUGGAAAGUCUCACCAAAUAUUUGGAAUAUGUAAACACCAAUUUAAACUUAAGAAUUAAAAAAAGUAUUAACCAAAACUAUUAGGGGAAAUAAAAAGCUUAAUUGGAUGAUCUCAAUAGCAGUAUGCAGAAGACUAAGGAAAAAGUCAAUGAACUUGAAAACGGAACAAGAAUACCUACAGAAUCUGACCUAUAGAAAGAAAGGAGGAUUUUAUUGUCCCUGAACAGAGGCUCAGGGACAAAUAAAAAAUAACAAAUCUAACAUUCACAUUAUUGUAAUCUGGAAACAUUCACAUUAUUGUAAGAGGACAAAGAGGUCUUUGUGGGAUAAAACUGUGAAGAAUUAAUGGCUGAAAAUGUAUCAAAUUUCUCAAAAGAUAUAAACCAGAUUUUUAAAGUUCAGUAAAUGUCAAGCAGGAUAAACCAAAAGAAACCCAUUGCAAGACAUAUCAUAAUCAAACUGCGGAAAAUUAAGAAAACACAAAACAAUUUUGAAAGCAGCCAAAGGGAAAUGAAAGAUAAAAUACCAAAUGAAUGAUUGUAGAUUUCUCAUCGGGAACCCAGGAGCCAGAAAAAAAUGUCAUAACAUUCAGUAAAUACCAAAGGAAAAAUACAUUAUCAACCCAGAAUGGUAUGUGGAGCAAAAGUAUCUUCCAGACAUAAAGGCAAAUAAAUGCAUUCUCAUUGGAAGGUAAAUAAAUACAUUCUCAGUCCUAGCAAAACUGCUGGAAAAGAAUUAGCAAAGGUUUGAGAUAAGAAAAGUGAUACCAGAAGGAAACUUAGAACAUCAUCAAUGAAGGAACAAAAGCAGAAAUAGAAAAUGUCUGGGUAGACAUAACAGACUAUUAUUCUUCUCUUGAGUUCCUUAAGGUAUGUUUGAUGGUUGAAAGCAAAAAUUGUAACUUUAUCUGAUGCAGUUGUCAUUGUAUCUAGAUGUACUACAUACAUAAGAUAAAAGGGUAAAUGUAAUGGGACUAACUCUUGAUGAAGUUUCUAUAUUCAACUUGAAUGGUAAAAUAUUGAUUCUUAGUAUACUGUGAAAAGUUAUAUAUGUAUAUGGUAAUCCCUAGACCACUUAACAACCAGAUUGAAAUAAACCAAAACAAGAUAGACAGAGGAACAUAGAAGAAUUAAAACAAAGGGAAAAAAGGUUAAUAAAUUAUUAAAUAGUAGAUCUAUCUAAAAACUUAUCUAUAAUAACAUUAUAUGUAAAUUAUCUAAAUGCAUUAAGUAAAAACUAGAGAUCAUCAGAAUGUGUUAAAAAUAAAUAUGCUGACUAAAGAAAGCCACCUGCAAUACACUUAUAAAUAAGAAUAAAAGUUAUAGAGCAGAUUGAAAGAAAAGAGUGGGAAAAGAUACCUCAUGCAAGCAUUAAUCAAAGACAGCUGUGGUGUAUAUAUAUAAAAUCAGACAAAGUAGAUUUGAAAGCAGAGAAACUUUUCAGGAAUAAUGAGGCCUCCUAAAUAAUUAUGAUUGUCAAUUUUUCAGGAGAAUAUUGUCCCAAAUGUAUAUGAGGACACAGAGCUUCAAAACUCAUAAACAAAAUUGGAUACGCCAAGUAAAAAUAGAAAAAUCCAGUUAUAGUUGCAGUCAUUAACACUCCUCUCUGAGUAAUUGGAAGAUUUAGUGGAACACAAAUCAACAGACAUACUGGAGAAUUGAACCAUGCCAUCCAGUAAUGGACCUAUCAAUUUCAUAAUGCAAAAUAAAAAUUCAGGUAGAAAGCAAAGACAAAAAUUAAAAGAAAAGCAAGAUCAUGUUAUAAUGAGAAAAUUAAGAGUAGUCCAGUGUAUAGAAGGGUGCUAUUAUUGAAAGAGUUUGAAAUAGUGACUUAGUUAUUUUGAAACAUUUUUGAAGACGUUAUUUAGCUGGAAAUGACAGAAAGACUGAAAAUGGUGAAUGUGGAGGUGGAUCUUCCCUUGUCCAUAUUUAUCUUGUCUUCGUUUGAGGUCUGGGGUGUCUAUACUUCCUCUGAAUUACCUGAUCUUACUACAGUGUCUGGCACAGAGCAUCUCCCCAGUGAAUAUGUACUAAAUGAGUAGAAAGUAAUUGAUAGAUUCAAAAGAGUUGUGCAAGAAUAAUGUUCAUUAUUUGACUAAUCACUGAAUGUGGUGUUUCAAGGAAGACAAUGAAUCAAAGUUGACUUGAAAGGUAAGCCCAGGGCCAGACGUGGUGGCUCAUUUCUGUAAUCCCAGCACUUUGGGAGGCCGAGAUCAGUGGAUCCCUUGACACCAGGAGUUUGAGACCAGCCUAGGCAACACAGUGAAAACCUGUCUCUACAACAAAUACAAAAAUUAGCCGGGUGUGGUGGUAUGCAUCUGUAGUUCCAGCUACUCAGGAGGCUGAGGUGGGAGGAUCGCUUGAACUCAGGAGGUGGAGGUUGCAGUGAACAGAGAACGCACCGGUACCUGGACAACAAAGUGAGACCCUGUCAUAAAAUAAAAUAGUUAAACCCAGGCCAGGAGGGGUGGCUCAUGCCUGUAAUCCCAGCACUUUGGAAGGCCAAGGUAGGCUGAUCACGUGACGUCAGGAGGUUGAGACCAGCCUGGCCAACAUGGUGAAACCCCGUCUCUACUAAAAAUACAAAAAUUAACCAAGCGUGGUGGCAGGCACCUGUAGUCCCAGCUACUCUGGAGGCUGAGACAGGAGAAUUACUAGAACCCGGGAGGCAGAGGUUGCAGUGAGCCAAGAUCUUACCAUUGCACUGCAGCCUGGGCGACAGAGUGACACUCUGUCGAAAAAAAAAAAAAAAAAAAAGUUAAGCCCAAAAAGUAAGUAAGGAAGAGGUUUGGAAUUAGAUAUUUGUUGUAUGAAUGAGUGAGCUAAAGUGCAAAAGAACGGGCAGAAUAACUGAGCUGGUACAGAGGGAAAAAAUCACAUUUAAAAUCUAAAAAUAUCUGCUUCUUAGUUCAGGCUUUCCCACUUAGCAGCUUUGGCACCUUAGGAACACUUAACUUAUCUGAGCCUCUAUUACUUCUAAAAAGUGCAUAAAGUGCAGACUAAGACAGUUUUUUUGGCAAAAUUCAGUCAGACUACAUCAAGUAAACUCCCUAAGUCUCCUAGUAUAAUUCAUGGCA